rnacentral:rRNA from 2 species
GUGCGAGACCGAUAGCGAACAAGUACCGUGAGGAAAAGAUGAAAAGAACUUUGAAAAGAGAGUUAAAGAGUACCUGAAACUGCUGAAAGGGAACCGAAUCGUAUCCAGUGUCUAUAAUCCAUGGCAUAUUUCAUUGGCGAGUGAGUGCGUGCAGCGUUUUGGAAGUGGUUUUCCGCUCCUGUCGUUGUUGUGCAUUUGCUUGCUGGUGCCCUGUGCUGUGGUGGGACGUCAGAGUCAGUUUGUAUGUUGCGGGAAAUGGUUAUUGGGGAGGUAGGUCACUUCGGUGGCUGUUAUAUCCUGGUAACUAGUCGUCGUGGCUGAGACUGAGGUGCCUACAAUGUGCUUUCGAGUGUGCGGGAUUCUCGUGUGGCUGUUUGCUUUGAUAGCUUGCUAUGUUGGUGAAUAAGUCGUGCGAUUGAGACUUGUAUUAACUUGUUGCUGUUCGGGACUUUGA